AUCUCCAAUGAUGAUAGAAAGAAAACUUUCGUUCUUCCGAGGUUGGUAAUUCCAUCCAUGCGGAGAAAAUUUGGAGACCUGAACUGAAGGAGAU